UUUGUCAAAAUUGUAUGACUCUAGAACUUUUAGACCGUGAGGCCAAACUUGGCAUGUGAUACCUUUUCGGAAAACCCAAAGAGAGCUCUCCGAUGAAUUAGGAAGGAAAAUGGAAUUCUUCUAUAGUUUUUUUUUCUACUCCAAAUUUUGACCUUAAUGUACUUUUUCGGGCCUUUUCGUAAUCUUUGCUAUAUUACGGGGCAAAAUAUAUAUGUACGGACAUUGUUUUCGUAUAUUUUGCAUGUAUCAAAGCUCUUAUAAACAAGAUAGGGUAUUCCUACAUAGCUGGUGGGACCCACGGCAAAUCGAUCAUAAAGUCUUCAAAAAAGAAUAGAUACGAUUGCAUUGCAUGUAGUUACAGAUGCGAUCAUACCAGCACUAAUGCACCAUAUCCCAUCAGAACUCUACAGUUAAGCGUGCUUGGGUGAGAGUAUUACUAGGAUGGGUGACCUCCAGGAAAGUCCUCGUGUGUCAUCCCUCUUUUUGUUUUGUUAAACAUGUAUGACUUUAUAACUUUAAGACCGUGAGGCCAAACUUUACAUGUGAUACCUUUUCGGAAAGCCCAAAGAGAGCUCUCCGAUGAAUGAGGAAGGAAAAUGGUAU
rnacentral:sRNA from 1 species